AGCGAACGCUGGCGGCAGGCCUAACACAUGCAAGUCGAACGAACCUUUCGGGGUUAGUGGCGGACGGGUGAGUAACACGUGGGAACGUGCCUUUAGGUUCGGAAUAACUCAGGGAAACUUGUGCUAAUACCGAAUGUGCCCUUCGGGGGAAAGAUUAAUCGCCUUUAGAGCGGCCCGCGUCUGAUUAGCUAGUUGGUUGAGGUAAUGGCUCACCAAGGCGACGAUCAGUAGCUGGUCUGAGAGGAUGAUCAGCCACAUUGGGACUGAGACACGGCCCAAACUCCUACGGGAGGCAGCAGUGGGGAAUCUUGCGCAAUGGGCGAAAGCCUGACGCAGCCAUGCCGCGUGAAUGAGGAAGGUCUUAGGAUUGUAAAAUUCUUUCACCGGGGACGAUAAUGACGGUACCCGGAGAAGAAGCCCCGGCUAACUUCGUG
rnacentral:rRNA from 1 species